rnacentral:lncRNA from 1 species
AAACUUAGCUCCUGCCAAAAUCAUUCUCGCGGGUACCUUCAUCAAGGUAUCCCAUUGAGACCGCCAAGGCUGUUAAAUGUCCCAUACCCAUAAACGUGUUUUCGCAUCUGACACACAGCCGUUCCUUGGCGUUGGUUGAGUCUCACUCUCACGCGGUGGUUAACGUGAAGUGCACUCAAAAAGCCCACCUCAGGAGAUACCCUACGCGCCUCUACGACGAGGUGAGAAUAUAAAGGAGUUUACCGUGCCCCUCUAAUAGGCUGGUCCACGGAAGCCCCCACUACUGCAGUAGCUAAUCUUUAAUCCACCAAUUGAUCAAAUCUCAAUGGCAUAGCAUGACAAUUACAUUACUAAACAAUUUAUCAAGGCAAAACAGACAGUUCAUAUUUUUCAACACAGGUAUAAAUUCAGCCAAUCAUGCCAAUUUAUCACAAGCCAUUUAAUUCAAAUCAUAAUUUACAAUAAAUCACAUGGUCUCCAAUUACUUAAAUUUUCAAAGCCAUCAUUCAAUUUCAAGAUAAUUUUAUGAAAUCAUUUUAUAAAAUCACAAUUUCUCCUAAAACAUAGCAAUUUACCAUUUAAACCUAUUUUCUAGAAAAUCACACAAUUGUAUAAAACUACUCUAGAUAAUUAAGACGAUAAUAAGUUCACUCAUAGUAUUAGGAGUAGAAAUACUCCUAUUUUCAGUCCGCGGGUACAAUCCUUUACCCGUAUCCAAUGGCUCACCACCUAGCCAUAAUCCAUGACACAUAUUCUAAUUAAAUUGUGUCUAACAGUNCCAGUAUUCAAUUUUCUAAAAAAUUUAUAAAAUCACAAUUUCUCCUAAAACAUAGCAAUUUACCAUUUAAACCCAUUUUCUAUAAAAUCACAUAAUUGUAUAAAACUACUCUAGAUAAUUAAGACAAAAAUAAGUUUACUCACAGUAUUAGGAGUAGAAAUACUCAUAUUUUCAGUCCGCGAGUACAGUCCUUUACCUGUAUUCAAUGGCUCACCACCUAGCUAUAAUCCAUGACACAUAUUUCAAUUAAAUUGUGUCUAAUAGUCAUAAGCUAUUUCAGGCUCGAUAUAUAUGCAUGAUAUGAAAUGAAAAAUGCAUGGGUAGCCAUCUAGAUCCGGUAUUGGCCUUAGUAAAUUUUUCAUCCAAUAAAUUGGCCAAUGCGUCCAAUUUCACUCCAACUUGCUCCAUUUCUUUUCCAAUCCCUCAAUUCACCAAGCACAACUAAUUAACACACAAUUAGGCAAAAUUUAUCUACGCUUUUCUUCUUGGAACUUUCGGCCAAUAAUGGUAUACUAAUUCCAUGAUUUUUCCUACUUAAUUUUCUCUCCAUAAUUCAUUAAUUCCUACACCAAAAACUAUUAUUUGUUAAGCAAAUCACCUAGAAUAACAUCCCAUUCUUCCUCAUUAUUCACUUAGAGAAUUCGGCUAUUGAUGGGUUCCAAACCUUUGGUGGUUUUCUUCACUUGUUUUCAUGCUACACAUCAUUAAUCACCUAAAAACACUAACAUACCUAAAAAUCAAACCAAUCCAAGAUCAUUCUCUCUCCAUACCCAUUUUGACCAGCCAUGAAUUCAUCAUGAAAACAUGUAAUUUAACCAUGGAAAUUAAGGGAAAAUGCAUGGGUAAGGUAAAUCACUAGCAAAAUCAAAGAAAUUUUACCUUUGCUUGAUCAAAUCCUUGAAUUCCAACACUUUCUCUUUGAUUUUUCCCACCUAGGGUUUGUUUCUCUUUGAUUUUUCCCACCUAGGGUUUGUUCUUCCUUGGUUUCUCUUCUCUUCUGGUUUGGCUGAUCACUAUGGGAGAAAUGGGCUGAUUUUUUACCUUUUUAUAAAGAAAUAAUAAAAUAAUAAAAAACAUGACACAUGGCAUUUUCUUAUUGGUUCAAAUUUUAAAUAUUUACCUUUUAAUUCUUUAAUUCUCCACCACACAUUUCUUAUGUUUAUCCAUUUCCGUGAUGAAUAAAAUCGCUUGGUCUUGACAAGUGUCGGGAGUGAAAAUUUUACCGAUUUACCCUCGGGGUGGCAAAAUUACCGUUUCACCCCUAUACUCUAAAUUAUAUCGAAAUUAAAAUUUUUCACUUCUAAACUUCAACUCAUACUCCAAUAAGUCAAAUGGGGCCAAAAAAAUCUUUUCUAAAAAUUUCCAUUUUGUCCCUAAGUGGAAAAUGACCAUUUUGCCCCUAGAUAGUGAAAAUUUUGGUUUGACUCCAAAUUGAUUCUCGAACUCCGAAUUACCAUUUUGAGUCAUCUCUGAACUGUGAAACUCUUAAUUUCACCCUAAAAUUCCUAUUUGAAUUAGUUCGAGGCUUAAUCGACUUAAUGGUACCAUUAGGGGCAAUAUCGUCUUUUAACGAUUCCUCGAACUUUCUAAAUAUGCAAACAUUCUAUUGAGCAUGUAAAUGACAUCGUAAUUAUUUUAUAGAACAGGGUUUGACAUAAAGGGGAUUGAAAUAUGUAGAGCUAUUGUAUAGAUAAACAGUUAAAAUAAAGGGAUGAAAUGACACGAAUGGAAAUGGUUAAUCAUGAGAAGAGAUAUGAGAAAUGCACUACGCAUUUCAAUUUAUUUGAAUGAUAAAUGAUAACAAGCCCGAUACAUAAAAUUCCAAUGCUUUUGGGCAUAAGCACGGAUGUUUAGUUUGCAUUACUUUGAAAUUGAAUCACAAGUGAUUGGUAAACUCAUGGUCGUCCAGCUGCUCAACUUUAGAUUUGGUGGCCCGAGGUAUGUAAUAGGAAUCCCAUCUACAUUUCCUGACUGUUCUUCACCUUCUUCCGUUGCACAUAUUGAUAAAUCAGAAAAGGCUUCCCCUAAAGCUGACAUUGAUUCUCGGCUCCCAACGGUGAGUCAUUUAGGAAAGAUGCAACCUCCAGAUCGAAAUGUCUUGUAGAGAUGAGGAUAUCUCAUUCCUUGGAUUUCCAACUCAUGCCCCUUAAAGCGAGCCAACCUUUCCUUUCUUCUUUCGGCUAUCAUUUCUUCUCUUUCCUUCUUAGUUGGCUUAUACCCCAGGCUAAACCUUUCUUCAUUUUUGGUAGCACGUAUGGGCCUUCUAAUGCCUUGUAGCUCUCUUCCCAGUCCUACCCCUGCUCGUUAUCCUUUCCCUACUAUCUGACUGACAGCCAUCUUGGUGGUUUUGGAAUGCUUCGGAAUAGACGGUGUGGUUCCUUCUCCAACAUAUGUGGUGUUAACAAACUCGAAGGAUCGGAAGGAACAUUCAGGCACUUCUUCCGCCGCUGUCACGUAAAGAGUAUCUACUGGCUUGCUUAUGAGUAAGUCCUCUUCCCCGUUAACACAGAUAAUAUUCCCAUCCACGAUGAACUUGACCUUCUGAUGAAGAGAUGAAGGUAUGGCUCCAGCCAUAUGGAUCCAAGGUCUUCUCAACAAAUAAUUGUAUGAAGGAGCGAUAUCCAUAACCUGGAAUUCAAUGGUAAAGGUACACGGGCCAAUUUUUACCGGUAUCUCAAUGUCCCCUACUACUUCUCUCAUUGUUCCGUCGAAGGCUCUCACGAUCAUCUGACUCUUUCACAUGUAGGACAUGUUGAUGGGUAAACGGGCCAAGGUCCUCAUGGGCAUCACAUUUAAGGACGAUCCGUUGUCCAGCAAUACCUUUGCGACGGUACAGCCUUUACACUUGGUAGUGAUAUGCAAGGCUUUGUAAUUUCCUCUACCUCCAGAAGGGAUUUCUUCAUCGCUAAAGGAUAUUAUGUUACCCACCGAAAUGUUCCCAACAAUGUAGUCUAAAUUUUCAACUGAGAUAUCGUGAUCCACAUAUGCUUGGUUCAGAAUUUUCAUCAAAGAGUUCCUAUGUGGUUCCGAGCUGAGGAGCAAAGAUAGUAGUGAAAUACGAGCGGGCAACCUAUUCAAUUGCUCAACCACAUUGUACUCACUAUGUUUGAUGAACUUGAGGAACUCAACAGCUUCUUUUUUCGUCACCGAUCUUUUUGAGUCAUAUGUCGAUUCUGGAGGUUGACCUUUUCUUCUCUCAGACUUUGCUCUUUUUCCUUUCCCUUCUCAUUCUUGAGAUUCUCCAAUGCUUCCGGUGAAUAGCAACAUCCGCUGCGGGUAAUCCCUCUAACACCAAUUAUAUUUGCAGCAUCAUCUUGAGAUUCAGCUAUCCAUUUCUCCACUUUUGAAACUUGUACACUGUAGUUAUAGUUUCAUGGGACAGCUUUGUCGUCUUUGUAGGGGAAGGGUUUAGGGACUUCGAUGAUCAUCUUGGCAUGGGUUCUGUCCUCCACAAACUCUCCUCUUGGUUCAUAAAAAUGGUUAAAGGUUUUAUCUUCAUUGGGUGAGUGGACUCCUUGGAUAUCAUGUUUAAUGCUUACUUUGAAGCUUCCAUAUAAAACUCGAUCCUUGAUUCGUCCAUCAUUCUUUGCACUUCCUUCCGGAAAGAACUACAAUCCUGGAUUAAAUGCCCCACACAUCCUUUGUGAUACAAGCAACAUAGUCUUUGGAUAUCUCUCGAGUCGUUCACAUUAGGACAUUCCGGCCAAACCUCGAGCAUAUUGGCUUUUACCAAGGCUUCAAAUACUUUCUCCAUGGGGGUUUCCAGUUCCCGAAUGUUCCUUUUAACAUACACCUCCCUUUCGAUUGCAUUUACCCCUGCCCCAGCAUGAUUCGGCAGUGGGUUAUUGUUAACAUUCUGUUUUGACUUUUUUUCAGAGUUCAGGAUUCCUGCCUUGAUCAACCCUUGCACCUUAUGCUUGAAUACCGUGCAAUUCUCGAUCGAGUGACCUUCGAUUCCAUAAUGAUAAUCACAGUGGGCGGAAGUGUCAUACCAUCUUGGGAAUGGAGGUUUUAAUGGCUCUAUGUAUAAAGGUGCCACCAGAUGGUUUGCAACUAACUGAGUGAAGAGUUCAGCAUAUGGGAUUGAGAUUGGGUCAAACUACACUUUCUCUUGCUUGUUCCGCCAUCCUCUUGAUUCACCGGUAGUAUGGUUGUUUGAAGGUGUUGUUUGUUGUGUGGUUGAAGCUGUAACAGGUGUGGAAGUAGGUGGGUGAAUAUUUGUGGGGUAAGGUGUCCGUUAGAUGGGAGUAUAGGUUAGGAAAGGCAUUUGGCAUGAGUGGGUAUAGGUAUGGGCUUUGUGAAGUGUUGUUCAUAGCUGGAUAAUAGGGGUAUGGUGGGUAUGGCUGGUAAAGGUUGUAUAUUCCUCCUUGGUGUUGUCCUGAAGUGAUGGCUUAGGCUUCUCCCUCUUUCCUCUUGAAAGUUCCUCAUUUCCUUGUGUUUGCCGUAUCACCUCAUUCUAUCUUCCCUUGCUUAAUGACAGUUUCUAUCAUUUCUCCCGAAAUCACCAUAUCAGCAAAGUUCUUUGUGGCACUACCAACCAAUAGUUCAUAGUAAGGGGCUCGCAAGGUGUUAACAAACAUUACAAUGGUCUCUUUCUCAGUCAAUGGUGGCUGAACUUGAGAGGCCACAUUCCUCCAUCUUUGAGCGUAUUCUUUGAAGCUUUUAGUGGGUUUCUUCUCCAUGUUUUGUAAAGAAAGGCGAUCCGGAGCCAUAUCUAUAACAUGCUUAUACUAAGCUACAAACGCCCGAGCAAGGUCUUUCCAUGUGUGGAUUCGAUUGCAGUCCUGUUAGUCGUACCACUUUGCUGCAGCAACAGUAAGGCUAUAUUGGAAGCAAUGUAUCAAGAGUUUGUCAUCAUGAGCAUAUGCGCCCAUCCUUCUACAAUACAAGGUGAUGUGUGUGACCGGGCACUUGGUUUCAUCAUACUUCUCACAGUCUGGAACUUUGAACUUUGGGGGUAUAACCACAUCUGGAACAAGACAGAGCUCAAUUGCAUCCAUAGAACAAUACAUUCCCAUUCUUUCUAUCAUGCGCAAUCCUUCCUCAAAAAGGUCAAAUUUCUGAUGGGUAUUGGGAUUAUCCUUCGAUUCAACAGAUCCACAUUUGAGCUUCUCUUGUUCCUUUGGAUCAUCCAGAUCAGGUACAGAGAUGGGAUCUUAAGGAUUUGCCCCUCUAAUUGGCCUUUGUUGAGCAUAAGUUGGUGGUGGCCCUAUUGGCAUCCCAAAAAAUGGAUAUUGACCCAUUGAUGGCAUGGGAAUAGACGCAUUCCUUGCAGGUGGUGGUGUAAAUCUUGGUGGAUACACAGGGUCUGUAUUGGUUUCUGUCUAUUGAACGUCUUCUGGUGUACCAGAACUCCCUGCCGCUCUCUUUCCUUUAUUUGUAGAUAUUAACUCCAAAAUUUUUGAUAACUGACCCACGAUUUCUUCUUGCUUCUUCUCAAUCUUAUCCAUCCUCUUUGAAUGUUCGUCCCCCAUGAUCUUAGAACAAGCUCUUGUAUUGUAUCUGUGGAGAAUUUGUUUUUCUAGAAUUUUGUUCUAUUAGUUCAAGGAAUAAGUUAGAAUUUUAUGUUGAGUGUAUUAUUAUUUAUUACUUUUAUUUAAAUCAUGCAUUAUGAUGCAAAUGAAAUGUAUUUGAAAAGAAAAAAUAGGAAAAAUAUUGGCCAUCCAACAUUUACCAUAAGAAAAUCCGCAUCCAUAAAACUUAAAUAUCCGAUUACAUCAUUGUCUAAAACCAUUACAUAACUAUCAAAAGGAAAAACCGACUUUGUCAUAUUGGUCCCUAACCAUCCUGAGGUGAUCGAUCAACCGCUCACUCAAUUCAUCCCUAGGAAGAAACUCUCGCCUGAGUUUUUUGAUCUUGUUUGCCAUCACUCGAGCUCUAAAUGCCACUUCUCUCAUCUGUCUCAGUAUCCAUCGCAUCUCAGCUUCUUUCCUUUGAAGGCUUUGUGUGCACGAAUCAUUUCUUUCCCUCAUUUGGAAAUAUUCUUGCAUUACUACUUCAUACUGUGCCUUGUAGCCCUUCAUGGCAGUUUCCAACAAGUCGCAGUCAUUUUUCAACUCUUGGAUGGUUUGUUCUUAUCUUCGUACCUCGUUCUGCAAAGCAUUGUUGGCACUUUGAAGUUUUUGCAUUCUGGCUAACAAAGAAGAAUUUGCCAUGCUCACUUCCUCAAACUUGCUGUGCCACUCAUCCCGCUCUUUCAAAGCCACCCGUACCUUUCUUGCAGUCUCUUUCUUCACUUCUUCUAGCUCAUCCUCAUGUCUCCGCUUCAUAUUCAUCAUCUCCUUUUCAAGCCUCUUUCUUGUCAACUCACUCUCCAGCAGGACAUCUUGAGGUUCUAGGUUUAUGGGAUGUUUUGAUGGAUUUUUCGGGGGGCAUACGACAUAUUUCACCCUUUGGUCGUGCCAAGUAUGAUAUCCUGUGGUGACUUCAUCAGUAACCCUUCCCUGAUCUACUCGGCAAGUUUUCUUCCAAUCUUAUGUAAUUUCCUCAAUUUUCUUUAGCGUUUUCGGCUCUCCAUAUGUAAACUCUAACUGGUUGAGUUGGUGAGUCAUGGGGACGAAUUGCUCAGAUCCGAACUGUUUCCGUACCAUUAUCGGUGCAUAGCUAAUGGCUCCCCAUGGUCCCAUCAGCGGUACCCAUGGCUUGUCUCUGCAUUUAUACAUCACUUGCAUUCGCGGCAUCCAUGGAGCUCUCCAAGUUACUUCAACGCUCAUUAACAUCCGGAGAUUUGCGACCCACUCUUCUUUCCUCUUGUAGUCGGGCCAUACACUUUCGUAGAACUCGAGGAUAGGGCAACUUACAGACAGAUAAGGCUUCCGAAAUUUGUUCUCUUUACAUUCGAAAUGGCUUUUGACCCAUAUAGUUAAGAGUUGGGCACAUCCGAUGAAUCGUCCCUCGCCUUUGCGUCUACAAAAAUUCAAGGAUCUGAAGGUUUCAACUAAGAUAGAUGGGGUUGGGUUAAUGCUCAUCGUCACCUGAUCAAAGAAGUUUAUGACUAACACCUCCACAUGACCUAGAACCUUCAGGAAGACCACUAAGCCGUAGAUUGCCAUCGCAAAAGCUAAGAGACCUUGUUCAUCCUCCAUGUGUUUUUUAAUAUAUCCGUUCAAGAAACUCCACGGAAGGCAUUAUGUGUCUCCUUUCUUCUUCAAAUGCUGAUCCACUUCUACCGUAGUCAUUCCUAAUAACUUGGCCAACUUUCGUCGGUGUCCCGUCUUCUGGGCCCUCCAAUAGAUCUUGUCAGGCUGCAUGUGAUCUAUCCGGAGCAGGGAGGAGUACUCUUCUAUGGUAGGGGUCAUGUCCACCUUGUUAAAGACAAAGCAACGGUAUGAGGGAUCCCAAAACUAGACAAUGGCUCGGAGCAUCUGGUCAUCAACAGGUACAUAUAGGAGCCAUGCAAUGUGUCCAUACUUGUUCUGAAAAUUGUCUCGGUGAGCACGUCUCCACUGUUCCCAAAUUCCUACCAUCUUUGUGAAGUCAUUCUGCUGAAGGUCCAAGUGAACUCUCUCAAGUAAAGUUAGGACAUGUCCUUGGGUCAAACAGUCUCCUUUUUCUUGUUGGAUCUGCCCCAUUUGUAACUCUAUCUCAUAGUCAUUUUUGUAUAUGUUGAGCGGAUCUGCCGAUGAAGAUGCCAUGGAUAUAACCGGGAUUUCUUAGGUUGAAUGUUGUGUAGCCAAUAUUUCUCCUAUAUGCAAUUACGAUGCAUGCAAAUGAACAUGUAACAUGCACAUGACAAGCAAAAUAAACUUAAGUUAGUAUGGUAAAAAGAAAUAAUGGAAUGUUAAAAAUAAUGAGAGAAUAACAAGCAAUAUCAUGGGUAUUAUUGUCUACUCCACGAUACUUUAUUAUCUCGGGGCAUAAUUUAAAAUAGAGAGAGUGGAAGAAAGUCCUUCAUGUGUACCUAUUUAUAGGGUAUAUUCUCACGGGUAUGGCCCUAUCUAGGGUUAAGCUGCUCUCGGUACUCUAUAUGCUGAGCGGGGUUUAUAAACAGAGCUAAGGUUCCCAAAUCGUUCCUCACUGUCGUCCACACGGACUAGUAAGGCACCCCGGUCCUCACCCAUUACAGGCUUCAAACGGACUAGGUUCGAUUUGAGUGGGAGUCUUCACUAGCCCGUGCGGAGGUUAUCACCUCACGAGAGCGUAGCUACUAAACUCCCUCCUAAAAAGGACAUAACCCGGGUGGAGGGUUUAUGCAUGAAUGCAAAAUGUGCUGUGUGUGUGAAGGAAANNNNNNNNNNNNNNNNNNNNNNNNNNNNNNNNNNNNNNNNNNNNNNNNNNNNNNNNNNNNNNNNNNNNNNNNNNNNNNNNNNNNNNNNNNNNNNNNNNNNNNNNNNNNNNNNNNNNNNNNNNNNNNNNNNNNNNNNNNNNNNNNNNNNNNNNNNNNNNNNNNNNNNNNNNNNNNNNNNNNNNNNNNNNNNNNNNNNNNNNNNNNNNNNNNNNNNNNNNNNNNNNNNNNNNNNNNNNNNNNNNNNNNNNNNNNNNNNNNNNNNNNNNNNNNNNNNNNNNNNNNNNNNNNNNNNNNNNNNNNNNNNNNNNNNNNNNNNNNNNNNNNNNNNNNNNNNNNNNNNNNNNNNNNNNNNNNNNNNNNNNNNNNNNNNNNNNNNNNNNNNNNNNNNNNNNNNNNNNNNNNNNNNNNNNNNNNNNNNNNNNNNNNNNNNNNNNNNNNNNNNNNNNNNNNNNNNNNNNNNNNNNNNNNNNNNNNNNNNNNNNNNNNNNNNNNNNNNNNNNNNNNNNNNNNNNNNNNNNNNNNNNNNNNNNNNNNNNNNNNNNNNNNNNNNNNNNNNNNNNNNNNNNNNNNNNNNNNNNNNNNNNNNNNNNNNNNNNNNNNNNNNNNNNNNNNNNNNNNNNNNNNNNNNNNNNNNNNNNNNNNNNNNNNNNNNNNNNNNNNNNNNNNNNNNNNNNNNNNNNNNNNNNNNNNNNNNNNNNNNNNNNNNNNNNNNNNNNNNNNNNNNNNNNNNNNNNNNNNNNNNNNNNNNNNNNNNNNNNNNNNNNNNNNNNNNNNNNNNNNNNNNNNNNNNNNNNNNNNNNNNNNNNNNNNNNNNNNNNNNNNNNNNNNNNNNNNNNNNNNNNNNNNNNNNNNNNNNNNNNNNNNNNNNNNNNNNNNNNNNNNNNNNNNNNNNNNNNNNNNNNNNNNNNNNNNNNNNNNNNNNNNNNNNNNNNNNNNNNNNNNNNNNNNNNNNNNNNNNNNNNNNNNNNNNNNNNNNNNNNNNNNNNNNNNNNNNNNNNNNNNNNNNNNNNNNNNNNNNNNNNNNNNNNNNNNNNNNNNNNNNNNNNNNNNNNNNNNNNNNNNNNNNNNNNNNNNNNNNNNNNNNNNNNNNNNNNNNNNNNNNNNNNNNNNNNNNNNNNNNNNNNNNNNNNNNNNNNNNNNNNNNNNNNNNNNNNNNNUUUUUUAUUUUUGUCGUGUGUAUUGCAUUUUCACAAAUUUAUUAUUUACUAUAUAUAUUUGAAUUAUUAUUAUUAUUUUUAUCAUCUUUUUUUAAUCUAUUGUUAUUUAUUUAUCAUUUUUAUUGAGUAAUUUUUGUAUAGUCAAAUUCUUUAUUUUUUAAAAUUUGGGGAUCUUGAAAUCGAGGCUCUCCCAUCGUACUGGUGGAGCUUUGAUUCGGAUUCCGAACCUAGGGAACAUGAGCCUGGGAUUGCGACUUCUUGCGUCCCGACCGAUCAUCCCAUCAUCGGUAUUAAAUUAAUCAAAAUUUUUUUUAUAUUAAAUAAUCUAUUAUCUCAUCCCAUUUUUAUCAACUCUACAUUUUACGUAAAAUUAUCUUCUUUGAUUUGUUUGUCAUUCUACCGAUCUUAUUCCAUUACAUUUUACGUGUAUAUAUAUUAUAUGUUUAGUUUUAGCAAUUAGAUGUAUUUCUUUGUUUUGUUAUGUAUUUAUUUAUUUUUUUCAUCUACCUUUGUAACCAAAUAUCUAUCUCUUCAUAAUUUUAUUAUUACUUAUUAUACAUUUAAUAUAUAUAUAUAUACUAUAUAUAUAUAUAUAUAUAUAUACUCCUAUAUUCUUAUCUAUCUCCAUUUUUUACAUUUUUUAUAUUAUGAAACAUUCUAUUUUUAUUCUUACCUAUUUCUUUUUUUUUGUUUUUGUUUUUAACUAAUCAUCUUUAAAAUGAAAUUCUUGUCAUUCUACCCCUUUGCAUCUUUACACUUUUGCUCACACUAAUUUCCCUAAUUACAGAAUGCUAUUUGAAGAUUUUAAAGCAUUAUAUUAAAAUGAUUUAACUUUGCUAUAUAUCAUCAAUCACCACAAUAAACCCAAUUCAUACCAAACACAAUAAAUUAUGAAAGAAAUAUGGUUUUUUUUUACCUCACUUGGAAUUAGAUGGCAGCCCGAGUGGAAGGAUCACAACCCACUGCACCCUUUUGCCAUGCGCACCAUGGGUAGCUGAAGAAAUGACUUUAUCUUCUCUUGAACGGUGUCGUUUGGAGCCUCUUUUUGCACUAAGGUAUGGUUUUCGUCCUUUCCUCUCUGUUCUUCUUGUUCCUGACUAUUAUGUUGCCCUCUUUCUAAAAAAAUAAUCUCCAUUUGUUCUCUCAUGCUCUCUUUCUUCUCUCCACCCCCCACCAGCGAUGGGAUCCAAGGCUCUUGCCGUCCGCCUUUCACCGGAUCUGAUGUCGCAGCACUAGGCUCACUCUUCCUUCCCUUGCGCCGGCAGCCGCUCCUCUCUCUAUUCCUCCGCUCAGCUCUUCUUUCCCUUUGCGCCAACAGCAGAUCCUUGGCGCCAAUCUGCAGCUGGUAUUCACUUCGGCGACGCAGGUCAGGGAACACGAUCCUCUCUCUACUUGUCUGUGAUAACCGAGCCUUGCUCUCCCCUAAAAACCCAACUCAUCCCCUCCUUUCUAGCCGGCAACAUCUCACCCAAAACUGAAACACUCCCAGUUACUCCAAACCUCUCCUAAAAAUCUAGAUCUUCCCUUAAAAAUCAAAACCCACACUCUAAAAAAUCAAUUCCUAUUUCUCCUAUUUUUUUUUGAUCGAUUUUUCAGUAUUGAUUGUGGAUUUUCGGUUGUUAGGAAGCUUGCUAGGGAUUUUUUGAUUGCUUGUUCUUGUGGCUAGGGAAUUGUUGGCUGCUAGAGAUUAGGGUUUCUUUUGGGUUUUUUUGGUUUCAAUUUCUUUGGCUUACAGGUUGUGCCUUGUUGCUUUGGCUUGCCGGAUCCCCCCAAAUGCUAUAGUGCCCCCUCCCCUUUAUACCCGGUUCCUGGGCUCUGGAGGGGGCACGCUCCACUACCUUGCCAGACACGGAUUUUUCGCGUCUGGUAGGGUGAGGGAGGUGUCUGGGUACUGGCAGGGGGCACGCUCCACUACCCUGCCAGAACUCAUCUUUCAUUUUUUUUUAAUUAUUUAUAUAUUUUAUUUAUUUUUUAGUGUCUACAAGGAGCACACAUGGAGUUGCACACUUGCAUUAUUUUAAAGGUAUUCAAUUGUCCAAUUUGAAAAUGACGAAUUAGAACUGAGAAGAGCACACGUGGGGUUGCACACUUGCAUUAUCUUAAAAUAUUCAAUAAAUCUGGUUUUAAAAUUAUCACCCUAUACAAUUGUUGUCCAAUUAGAAAAUGAUGAAUUACAUAAGAAUUUUGGUAAGAGACUUGAAAAUUAAAAAUGUCACACUAUACAAUAGUUGUCCAAUUCAAAAAUUAAAAGCAUAACACUUGAAAAUUAAAAACAUAACACUUCAAAAUUGAAAGCACAACAAUUGAAAUUAAAAGGCCUAAGGUUAAACUUAUUAAUUGAGCCAGCCAAAGACACGGUGCUUUCAGAUCAACCAGGUACCGGAGUCUUGAUCCCUAGGAUCGUCUCUUGGAAUUUUUGCUGACUCCAUUGCUGUCCGGAAUAUUCUCUCUCUUGAUUCCCUUAAUUCUUCUCGUGCUUCAACUAGAGUUUCAUUUUUUCAGCACGAAUCGGAUAUUCCACCUCAUUAGUAAAAGAGUCAGGAAGUGACACAAGGAACACCAGAGCUAUUUCUUCUUCAUUCGUAUUGACAACCAACUUCUUCAAUUUUUUUAUUAUUAAGAUAAUUAUACUAACAAUUUAGUUAGAGUUAUUAUACAAUACUAUUAUCUAGUUAGACUAAAAUUAUUUAGUUAUAUAAGAUUAGGAUUAACCUUAUAUAUAUACACACUAAGGUAGACAAUUAAAAUAUAUCAAUCAUAAGUAAUUUACAGUUUCAUCAGAGCUUUGUGUUAGAUAAGAUGGUGGCUUGGGUCAAGAUAUUGGUGGCUGAACCAGAGGAUGAUCCGAUGGCUGAGAAGAAUCCUCAGCCCUUGGAUGAAGACGAUAUCACGUUAUUGAAAACUUAUGGUUUAGGUCCAUAUUCUUAUAGCAGCACUAAAGUGGAAAAGAUAUCAAAGAGAUGGCCGAAAAGGUCAAUGACCUUUGUGGUAUCAAAGAAUCAGACACUGGAUUAGCUGCACCCAGUCAAUGGGAUGUUGUUUGAUGAAGUAGAUGCUAUUGGGUGUGCACGUUUUGAUGAUGGAGUUGGUGGAGAUAACGAGGUCCUGCGAACAAUGCUUGAGAUUGUCAAUCAGCUUGACGGGUUUGAUGCCCGUGGAAACAUCAAAGUUCUAAUGGCAACUAACAGGCCAGACACCUUGGAUCCUGUACUUUUACGUCCCGGACGAGUGGACCGUAAGGUUGAGUUUGGUCUUCCUGAUAUGGAGAGUCGGACUCAAAUCUUCAAAAUCCGUACAAGAAUUAUGACUUGUGAAAGGUGCAUUAGAUUUGAACUUCUUGCUCGACUUUGUUCUAAUUCUACAGGUGCUAAUAUAAGGAGUGUAUGCAGAGGCUGGCCUGUUUGCAAUACCAGCACCAAGGAAGAUGAAAACUGAAAAAGAUUUUCUCAAUGUCGUAAACAAAGUCAUUAAGGUUACGAUAAGUUUAGUGCAACUCCAAAUUAUAUGGUAGAAAAUUAGGUCUGAAGGCAUUGUUAAAUAUAUAACAUUUAUUAAUGUUCAAUUUACAGUUUUAUAUUAUACAAGAUUUUACCUUCUUCUAAUAUGGUAAUAGAGCUUCAUCUUUGAUAAAUUAAGAUUCUCUUCUUCAUCUUUGAACUAUUAUAAUAUAACCUAUAAGUACAUUUCUUAUGUCUUUUAAGGAAAAAAUAAACAUUUUUAUUGUCAACUUUUAUGCAAGUCUCUUGCCGGUUAUGUAGAUUGGUAAAGCCAUUCAAAGGAAAUAUAACAUUUUAUUGCAUUUCAAUCAAACCAGUUGCACAUGCAUCCAUGCGCAGAUACAUUCUAGAGGAAAAUUAAAAGCUUAACAUAACACUUGAAAGCAAAAACCCUAAGGUUAAACUUAUUAAUUCAGCCAGCUGGAGAAAAAAGGUUCAUUUCUUUGCGACAUCUUUCUUAGUCUUUUUCUUUUCUGCAUUAGUUUUUCCGUUAUCAUUGCUUUAAUUGGCCGGAGCUUUGUUUUCUGUUGGUUCUUCAACUGAAGUUAUUGUCUCUACAGCAAGAAUCAGAAAUUCCACCAUUUGAUUAAGGAGCUUCAAUGUCUUUUCUGGUUGCUUUAUAGUUUCUUUUCGUUGCUCUAUAUUGUCAGCCAACUUUCGUAACCGUUCUAUGAUUUGGAUGUCCAUUUCUUCACCCUCCAGCUCCAAUUUCUGAACAAAUAUUUCAUCCAUCUUAGAAAAUCAUUUGAAAAAAAAGAAAAAAUAAUUAAGCAAACCGAAAAUGUAAAGCAAUUUAAAUUAAUUGAUUAAUUUUCACCAUACGCUAAGUGAAACAUUUAUUGUAUUGUUGAAAAAUUAAAGUAAAAUAAAAUCUUUUUUUUAUGUGCCAAGCCAAUUCAGAUUGAUUGGACACUCUCUCUCAAUAGCCUCUUAAAAAUAUUUACUCACACCCACAAAUUCUAGCAAAUCUGGAGAAAAAACCCAGUUACAUGGUGUUUAACUCUGUAGAGAUUCCAAAUGUACCAUAGUUUUGUAUUUUGGGGGGAUUGGUCCAAAAAAUGUUAAAACUGAGAACUGACCAAAAAAUCAAUUGGACUAAACAUUUUGGAGCAAUUGAUCCAAUAAAUCAAUUAGAUUGAACCAUUUUAGCCAAAUCACAUUUGAUUUCGGUGAGAAAUUAGUCUAGUUUGAUUUUACUCACCCCUACGCAACACUAUUAGCAGACCUAGGAAUAUGAAAGAUAAGCUAUUCCUUCAGUUUACUGUCAGAUUGGGAAUAUGAAAUAUUCUAGCAAACCUAGAGAAAAAAAAAACAAAAAAGGGGGAUAUGUAGAGAUUGCAAAAGUACCUGUGACAAGAAGUGGAUGAGUCUUUGUUGUGUUCACGUUUAUAGGGGUGGAUGAGUUCACUUCACACUCAGUUUUUCAAUGCUUACUAUUUUGUGGAUGCUGCAAUGAUAUGCUGUGAUAUGGUGUUGCUUAAUACUAUGUCAUAUAUUUAAGUCAUUACUAUAGCUCUUGGUUCUCUUUCCUGAAUUGCCUUAUUAAGUUCUUGCUAGCAAGUGCUGUUCCAUGCCUUCAUUUUGUGUUUUCUUCUUUUUGCAACAGAUUGUUCUCUUCAUCUGUUGCUUGCAGUUGCUGUACUUACUUUUGAUUUUAAUGAAAAUACUUGAUUCGUUGAGUGAAAUAAAAAAAAAUAUAUCUCCAAACGUUUAUAGAGGGGGAUGAGUUUGAGCUCCUUCAGUUCGAAAAACAAAGCAAAAAAUAUGAGCACCUGCUUAAAUCUUUGAAAACAUAACUUUGACGUUUGCUUGUUGUGUGCUUUUAUGUCUUUUAUGUUAAAGCAUUGCAAAAGUUUUAUAUAUAUAGAAACAAUAGAAUAGAGGUGGAUACCUUUUUGGCUGCUGAAGACCCUUCUUUCCCCUCCAUAAGUUUAAUCGGCCCUGGCACGUCAUCUAAGCUGAGGACAUUCAGGUUCUUGCUCAUUGUCACACACCGUAGCUAAACAAUAGAAUGGAGUUGCACACUUGCAUUAUUUUAAAGGUAUUCAAUUGUCCAAUUCAAAAAUGAUGAAUUAGAACUGAGAAGAGCACACAUGAGGUUGCACAAUUGCAUUAUCUUAAAGAUAUUCAAUAAAUCUGGAUUUAAAAUUAUCACACUAUACAAUAGUAGAUGUUUUAUGAAUAAAUAUAUGAAGUAUUAUAUUUUAACUAUUAACUACACGUUAAUUUGUACUUAAAAAAAUACAUGUUAAUUUGGGUAACAUGUCAUGGCAUUAGUCAAAUUGAUUCCAUAUAUUAGUUUUUUUUUGUUAUAAUAUAUGUCGACACUUAUCUAUGUUUGUGAGAGUUGAACUGUUAGAUGAAUUUGUAAUUUAUUUAAUUUUGUUAAAGCCAAUAAUUAUAGUGACUUAAUUAUUGGUGAGAUCCGAAGGCACUUGUCGUUUUAAUUUCGAGCAAGUCAACUGAGGUUAAUGAUCCUGUUUGCAAGAGAUUCCAAGUGAUUUCAGCCCGACUGUUGUUUUUAAUUCUAACCAUCCAUGGCUCAUAAGAAUAAAAGAAGAUUAUCGCCUCUAUAAUAUAGUAGAAUUGCGAACUUUAACUUGCUACAAGAUGAAAUUUACUAUAAUCUACUCUAAUUCUGAAAUAUAUAUAUAAAUAUGUAACUAAUAAACACAGGCAUGUGAAGAUACUGCCAAAACUCUCAGAUCAACAUAGAAUUAUUAUAUUGGUUCUAAUUAUAUGUCUUUUAGAUCCAAUAAUUUAAGAUACCACACAAUAAUAAAAGUUGUUCAUGUAUGAAUUCACACUUUGGAUUAAUGUGAAAUAAUGUUUUUUACAUAUUAAAUUAUCAAUUCAUAAUAUCACAAGACAAUUUCUAAUUACAUUUAAUAUUUUAAUUUGUCUUGACUGUCGAAAUAAGAAGGAAGUACAUAACAUAGUGUUCAUGAGAUUGUCAUUUUUCAUGAGAUAUCUUACAUCAACUUGAAAUACUUUUAUGUUUGAUAAAUGCAAAUUUAUUUUAGUCUAAGUUAAUACUAACUAUAGGUAAUGUAGAGUAUGAUUUUUUUUUUGAAAAGUAAAUUUGUUGACUUAAAGAUAUUCAAUUGUCCAAUUCAAAAAUGACGAAUUAGAACUAAGAAGAGCACACAUGAGUUUGUGCACUUGUAUUAUUCUAAAGGUAUUCAAUUGUCCAAUUCGAAAGUGACAAAUUAGAAUUGAGAAGAGCACAUGUGGGGUAGCACACUUGCAUUUUCUUAAAAUAUUCAAUAAAUCUGACUUUAAAAUUAUCACACCAUAUAAUAGUUGUCCAAUUCGAAAAUGACUAAUUACAUAAGACUUUGGAUAAGAGACUCUUCAUGACAUAAGAAUUUGGUUUACACAAAAAGCCUGAACAAUUACAUAAAACUACUGGUGGCAUUGCACAAAGGCAUUCCUAGCCAAAGGCCGAGGGAGGGGGGCUAGUAUCCCCCCAAUCAAACUUUUAAAAUCUUAUAGUUUUCUCUUAUCUUACCUUGGCACCACCACUGUUCGUAGCUAUGUAUAGUUAGUUUACUUAGUCAUGCUUACUUUACCUCUGUUACUCUGUAUAGUAGUUUGGCUUAUUUUCUUCUUUUACUCUUUUACCCUUCAAUAUUUGUUGUAUAACAAUUUUACCAUCAUAUAUAAAUGGUUGGCUUCUUUUGUACACUUUAUUAGAUGAAAUAUUAUUGAAAAAUUCCCAAAAUAUGGUUCUUAUUCUCUGCAAAAUCUCUUGAUUCUUCAUGUGGUUCUUAUUCUUCAUGUGGGCUCUAGACUCGAUUUUGAUUUUUCCGCAUCAAUUUUCUCUAUCAAUUAAUUGUUUCUUGUUUCUUGAUUCAUUCUUUUGGUUUUUCCGCUACUGAUUCUUCUUGUUUCUUUAUGAGAAAUUGUAUUAGGUUUUUAAUUUUCUCUUGGUUUCUUGAAGCUUAGGUUAGGAAUCUCUUGUGUAAAAUAUUUUACAAAGCAACAAGAAAAACACUUAUUGACCAUGUAAAAUGUCUUAUGCCUUUGAAAGGUGUAAGAUAUUUUCCAGAGAAUAGAAAAAUGCUCUUAUAUUAAACCCAGCAAUAUAGGUUUGAUGAAUGUUAAUAUUUUUUUCAAAUUUGAUGAAUAUUAAUAAUUAACUUAAAAUAUUAAAAAAAUUAAAAAAUAUUAAUAUUUACCUCUAAAAAUUUUUUAACUUACAUUAUUAAUAUCUAAAUUAUUCAAUACUAUUUAAAAUUAAAAAAUAUUUUAAUAAAAUCAUCCAAUGCAAAUAUUUUUAUUUAUAAAUUGAAUAAAUUUUACUAUUAAUUACAACAAAAAUAUUUUAAUGAUCUUCAUUUGAUGUUUUACUCAAAUUGAUGAAUAUUGAUAUUUUUAUAGUGUUAUGUUAAGAAAAAUGAUGAGAUGGAAAUCUUGUUGAAAUUUAAAACUUACUUUUAUUACAAUAUGUGGUUAACCUACAAGUCUUUUAUUUUUAAGGUUCUAGACUUAAUAUGGCAUCAGGCUAUGUGAAGAUAAUAAAUUCAUUUUUUAAAAAAAAUGACACUAUUGUUUUGCAAUAAGAUCAUAUUUAUCAUUAUAAUACUCAAAUAACUUUGAUGGACGAAAAUAUUUUUCACGGGUUGAUCAAAAUAAUAACAUUUUAAAGAUGUUUUAGCCUCAAAUAUCUCAUUUAUUUUAAAAAAUCAAAUAUAAUAGAGUAAAACACGAGACAUAUGUAGCACAUAACAAAUAAACUAAAUUCAUUUUCUUGUUUUCCACAAAUCUUGCCGUUAUGAUUUUCAUUAUAAUAUUUUUGUUUUCUGUACAUGUGAAAGUUUAUCACACUGAAAGUUGCAUAUAGGAAAAACUGUGACUGUGGAUGACUAAAACUUUCACAUUUUGAUCAUUCAUGAGUUGAUUUGGUGGGUUGUUUUUUUGCUGUGUAUGGCUUUGAUAAUUUGAAACAGAGCAGAUCCUAUGGCAGCUCGCUGUAAUUCUAUUUGAUCAAAUAUACAACUUUUGCCUUUCAAAAAAAAAAAAACAUAUAUAAUAUAAGAGAUAAUCAUCUCACAUCUUAUAAAAGUUUACCUUUAUAAUCUUUAAGAUUCAAACUUAAGAUUUUUAUGUUGAAAGUUCGAACCUUAGCCAUUGGUAUUUUCUUGAAGACAUUAUGUUUUAUGAUAUCAUUGUCACAUUUCUUAUCAUUGUCACAUUUCUUACUUUAAAAAACAAAAUAGUAAAAAAGGUACGUAAUUACAAUAAAAGCAAACAAUUUAUUCGAAGUAUUAUAGGAAACAUAAAUAAUUUUUGAGAUAACAAAAUACAUAAUUUUACUUAUAUAUAGACUAAUCAUGUCAUAGUUGACAAUAUAAAAAAAUUGAUAGUCACAAAGAAGACACCUUAAUGAAAUUGGAUGUAAGAGUUUGACACAUUUGUUAGUGUAGACUGUAGUACGUAUAGGUACAUAGCUAUCCCUUCAAUCAAGAAAUUUUCAAUAAGUUAGUUUCAUAAAUCUUUUGUUAAAAUGCAUUAAGUCAUAAAUUUCAAGAUAUUUAAUUUGUCCUAUUCGAAAAUGACGAAUUGCAAUAGAAAAAAGAACACAUGGGAUUGUACACUUGCAUUAUCUUAUAGAUAUUCAAUAAAUAGAAUUAUCACGUAGAAAUCUUAAGCCCUCAUGAUAAUUUUGUUAAAGUCAAUGUUUAUAUAGUGAUUUAAUUAUUGGUGAGAUUCGAGAGCACUUCUCAUUUUUUUUUUUGAGCAAGUCGAAGGAUGUUAAUGAUUGCAGGCAAAUUGUUGUUUUUAGUUAUAACCAUUAAUGUGGUUACCACUAGAUGAAAUUUAGGAUAAUCUAUUAUAAUGUUGAAAUAUAUAUAUAUAAAUAAUAAACACAAGCAUGUGAAGGUAAUGCCAAAGCGCUCCAUCAAAUUGUUGUCAACUCAUAAUGCAAGAUUCUUAUAUCUUAUCUUCAGCCAAUUGUUGCUAAAUCUUGAUUCCUUUGGCAGACAUUGGGUACAUUGAAUCCUACGUAAUUGUACAUAAGACAACUUUAGUCCCAACUUCCGAAAUCCAGGCUACAAGAAUUUGUUUUUUGGAGGAUGUAAGUUUCAACUACACAUGUAGAAGCUUCUCCCAAAGACAAAAUCAACUUCUCCAGCAAGCAACUUAGACGUGCAUUGGGUAACGAAACAUAACCAUUUUUUAAACAUCAAUGUUCGAGAAUUCUCAAAAUUCCCGUCCCUUGUGUGGGGAGAGAAAUAGACAGAAGGAUUAAAAAAUAAAAUGAGGAUUUCAUAUAGAAUGCUACAAGCUGUCAAAAUUUUAUAAUUAUUACAAGCCUAAACCAUGGUGAGAAUGCAUUUUAACUCUUGCUUUAAAAUGAAUGUGUUUAAUUAUUAUAUUUACCGUAAUAUAUAGUAUCUUUUGUUAAAAAGAAUUUUUAUGACUCAUAUGACCAUCUCAUAAUUUGUUUUUUUUUUUUUUUUUGCUCAGCCAAGAAAAGAGAUUAUAUUAAUAGAAAUGAGAGUACUAGAUGAGUGAGCAAAUGAGCAAACUUGCCCAAAGCUUACAAGCUCCAAAAUCUCUGAAUAAUAUCUUGAAUAUCCGUCACAUUGAGCUAACUAUUCUAACAAAAUUGAUCCAAAUAGUUUGACUAAGAUACAACUUUUAUAUGUAAAAUUUAUAUUAUUUACACACUAUCAUCAUUUAUUUCUCUUCUUUUAAAAUUUUGAACUAUUAUAAUACAACCCUAUUGAUAAAUAAAAGCAUAGCACUUGAAAAAUAAAAACAGAACACCUGAAAAUUAAAAGCAUAACACCUAAAAUAAAGAACAUAGCACUUGAAUUAAAAACAAAACACUCGAAAGUUAAGCGAACAACACUUUAAAAUUAAAAACAUAACAUUUGAAAACCAAAAGCAUAGCACUUGAAAGUUAAGAGCAUAACACUUGAAUAUUUGUCAUGGCAAUGUUUAUAGUGAUUUAAUUAUUGGUGAGAUUCGAAGGCACUUCUCGUUUUAUUUUCGAGCAAGUCAAAGGAAGUUAAUGAUCUGGUAGACAAGAGAUCCGAAGUGAUUGCAGCAAAUUGUUGUUUUUAAUUAUAAACAUCGGUGGUUACCCCGAGAUGAAAUUUAAAAGAAUCUAUUAUAAUGCUGAAAUAUAUGUAGAAAAAGUAAUCCUCUAUUAUGCUUUUUUCACCGAAACUUUGAUAUAUAUAAAAUUAUUCAAAAUUAAUCCAUAUGUUGAUAAGUAUUUGACAUAUGUUUUCAAUUAGACUCUAAUAAUAAAAUCCUACGUUCUAUAACCUUAUAACGGGAUCUAAUGAGAUUUGUAAGAAAGAUAAAAAAGCCACAACCAAAAAGACAAAGAGAUAGCUUUUAUUAUUUCUCCAUUGUUGCUUGCAAAGAGAUAGGCCUGCAAAUACUGUAUAAAAAAUGAUUACUUUGAGAGUUAGCGCUACUUUGAUUUUGGAAUUUUAUUGAUCUACUACCUAAUCCAUGAGUAACAUGAUAAUAAAAUAUUGCAAGAUUCUUGAUUCUUAUCUUCGGCCAAUUGUUGCUAAAUUUUGAUUCCUUUGGCAGACAUUGGGUAUUAUUAAAUCCUACGUAAUUGUACAUAGGACAACUUUGUCCCGACUUCCAAAAUCAAGGCUACAAGAAUUUGUUUUUUAGAGGAUGAAAGUUUCAACUCUACAUAUAGAAGUUUCUGCCCAAGACAAAAUCAACACAAUUUAAUUUUAUCUAAAUGUUUAAAAAGCAAAUAAUUAUUUAAAUUGAAAUUAACAAAACUAAUUAACAAGAAUAAAAAUCAAAGUAGAAAUAAAAUUUGAUAAAAAUCAAUAGAAUUAAGUCUAGAAUUACAAUAUCUCUCAUACUUCAUCUAAAUCUUUUCUGUCUUCCUUAGUUUAUUUCAAUGAGUUGAAUUGCUAAUCUAGAGUUUUCAAUUAUUUAUAAGGAUCUUCCUACUCGUCUUAUAAAAAUAUAUAUUUUAACUAAAACAAUAUAUCUUUAUGUGAAUUGAAAUUAGAAUAGACUCAUUAAGUUUAGGUUCCGACUCUGGCUACAUAUGCCAAAUAGGUAUAUCUUUAUCCUAUACACAAAUCAAUUAAUAUGAUCAUAUGUUAUUCAAAUCUUAGCCUACACUAAACUCUCUCUCCUAAGUUAUAUUUAGGUUUCUAAAUCAAUUUAAUUGGUAGCUAAGCAAUUAAAUGCAUUAAGAAUAAAUUGGAAUAAACAAUUCAAUUCCAUUGAAAUAAAGCAAUAAAGAGAUUAAAAAUUCAAAUUACAUGUGAGUUCAAUUGCAAUCUUGAAAAAAAAAUUAUCUACUCGUAAUUGCAAAGAUAAAUCAAAAUAUGUGAAGUUUAACCAUUAAGAAUAAUAAGAAAAAUAAAAGCUAAAGAAGAAGAAGACAGAACAAAUAUUUGCAGUCUUACUCUCCAAGUUUUAGCCUCAAUUUUUAGUUUCUUGAAUCUCAGAGGGUUGUGUUUUUAACUUCUUUCAAAGUACUAUUUAAAUACUAAUAAUUUUGACCUAAAAUUCCGUAAAUUAAACAUAGUUUAACCUAAUGACUCAACUUGAGGGCUGAGAAGUGUUAUGAAGCCCAAACAUCAAACAUAAUCCUUCAAAUUGCCUUUCCCGUAGCAUUACACUCAAUAAUAUUCCGACAUGAUUUUUUCUAUCUUCCAGAUAAAACUAGACCAAGUGAUCUAUAUACAGUUGUAGCUUUGUCUCUUAGUUUUCCAAUGGCUUAAGAAUCGCAUCAUUUUGGCAUAUGGAGUGAGAGUUAUGAUCAAAAUACUAAAGCAUGUACAAGCAGGAUUUUGGCUCCUUGAAACACCUUUCUUUCCCAAAUUAGGGCUUAUCAGUUUAAAUCCUACAAAAGCAAAAAACUAAUAAAUAAUAUCCAAAUUAAAGUAAAUAAAGAUAAAAUUAAAAUAAAUCAAUAAAAAUAUACUAAUUAGAAAAACAACAAAGAAUAAUUAAAGUCUAGUCAAACUUUAAGGACUUACCUAACAUUUAAGAACAAAAUGAAACUAAAAUAAUUCUAUACAAUAGAAUUAUCAAUGAGAGCCACAACCCUCAAGGAAUUUUUCAAAAAUAAGGAUCUUAUAAGAUUUUGGCAAUUAGGGCUUUUGGAGGCUACUUAAGGGUCCUUUUCUAGAGGUUUAAGAGAGAAGGCAGCGAGUAAUUUCUCAAUAGGAAAAAGUCAAAAGCAAAGCAAGAGAAUUUGAGGGAGAAUCAAGAUCACAAAGCUUUAACUAUUAGUUUGCUCUCUCUACUUGUGUGUUUUUUUUUUUUUACUUUGAUUAGAGGCUAAUUUUCUUUAGAUGAAGUUUUUAUUAGAUAUUAUGAGCUAAACUAUUUUUCUAGGAUUGUGGUGGAUUUCAACAUGCAGUUUGAAUAUUUGUUUCUUUUUUAUUUAUUAUGAAUAGGUGUAGUUUUACUUCAAAUUUACUUUUGAUUGUUUGGCCAACAAUUAAUUAAUUUGUAAAUCUAAUUGAAACUCGAUAGAGAGAUUUUAGAUUUAACUAAAGUUUGAAUAGUGUAUGUCCAUGUCAUUUAGGUGAUUCGAUUCGCGAUUCGGAUAAACAUAUGUCAAUUGCCAUAUAUAGUCAAAUUAGAAUAUUAGCUUAAUGAACCUUAUUUAAUUGAUUAUUAUAGAUAUAUAGUGACCCAAUUAAGUUAGGUAUUUGUGCAAGCAUCUCGAUGGAGGGUUGUACAUAAUUUUGGAUUCUAGGUUAGUAUAACCACCCAUGAAUGUAAAUAAUAAGAGAUGUUGAUAUUCGAUGAAGUGUUGAAUGAACCCAUAAUCAUAGGUUUUCAUCUAUUACCUUUCUCAAGUAAAUUUUAAGUUAUGUUAAUUAAUUUCGUGUUUGCUUUAAUUUAGUUUUAAUUAAUUUUCUAAAGAAUUUAGUUACUUGAAUAAGAUUAAUUUUUCAUAAUUUUAUUACUUAGUGAAGAUUUAGGAACAAAUCUCUGGAUGAUACAAUUCUAGACUUACUGUCUAUAUUACUUGUUCGAUACGUAUACUUGUGUAUACUAAAUCCAAUAACAAGUUUUUAUAUUUGCAUAAUAUGAGCAUCCUAUUCUACUGCAUAUUUUUAUGAGAGAAAAUUAGAGAAUUUUUUCAAGAUUAUCAAAGUAAAAAGUAAUCCUCUAUUAUGCAUUUUUCACCCAAACUUUGAUAUAUGUAAAAUUAUUUAAAAUUAAUCCAAAUGUUGAUAAGUAUUUGAUAUAUGUUUUCAAUUAAAAAAACAUUCGGAUAUUUAGAAUUUUAGACUCUAAUCUAAAAACCCUACAUUCUAACCUUAUAAUGGGAUCUAAUGAGAUUUGUAAGAAAGGUUAAAAAACGACCAACAAGACAAAGAGAACCUUUAGGUAGUUUUUAUUAUUUCUCCAUUGUUGCUUGCAAUGAGAUAGGCCUGCAAAUACUAUAUAAAAAAUUAUUAUUUUAAGAGUCAGCUCUACUUUGAUUUUGGAAUUUUAUUGGUCUACUACCUAACCAAUGAGUAAGAUGCUAAUAAAACAUUGCAAGAGUCUUGAUUCUUAUCUUCAGCCAAUUGUUGCUAAAUCUUGAUUCCUUUGGCAGACAUUGCAUAUAUAUUAAAUCCUACGUAAUUGUGCAUAGGACAACCUUUGUCCCAACUUCCGAAAUCAAGGCUACCAGAAUUUGUAUUUUCGAGGAUGAAAGUUUCAACUAUACAUAUAGAAGUUUCUUCCGACGACAAAAUCAUUUGUUAAAAAGAAUAUUUAUGACUCAUGACAAUCUCAUAAAUUUUUUUUUCUCAGCCAAAGAAAGAGAAUAUAUUAAUAGAAUUGAGAGUACAAGAUGAGUGAGGAAAUGAGCAAAUUUGCUCAAAGCUUACAAGCUCAAAAAUCAUGAGAAAACAAGAAACAACAGCUGGUUGGAAAUAAGCAAAAUGACGCAAAAUAAAAGGCAAGAAUACUAGUGCUGCUGAAGCAUAUGGCAAGGCAUCAAUGACCAAACCGAGACACAGGAUCGGCCCUUGGGUAAAACCAACCAAGCAAGGGCUUUAACCUCCAAAUUUGGAGAGGUUCAUAAUUUUAUAAUAAUUAUAAUAUAAUUAAUUUUAUUAAAAAUAUAUAAAAAUUAAAAUAAUUAAUAAAACAUUUAUAAGAGUGGUGGCCAGUAAUGGAGAUCAGUUACUGCAGAUGUGAUAGGCAUAUGCAAAGGUAAGUCAUCCUAGUAUGCGAGCAAGUUAAUGGAAAGUGGUGAUGGAGAAAGACGGUGGGUCGACAGUUUGUUCUUGGUGUAUGUCUACAACCUAAGCAAGACGGUGACUUGGUCAGCGAUCAAAGGUGCCUUGAGGAGUACAGUAAGGUGGUUGAUGCGUUCAUUCUGAGAAGAAAUUAUCAAGAUCAAGGGAGAGCCUUAGGGUUUGCUUUUGUAAGAUAUGGAGAAAGAGCUGAGAUGGAAAAGGUUCUAAAUUGGGAAGGUCAUUAGUGGCUUGAUGGGAGAAGAGUACUGGUUCGAACGGCAGAACCAAUGAAACAGAUUCUGAGAAAGGGAAAAAAGGUAUUAGCAACAAAGCAUGGGAAAAGACAAAGGGUGAAGAACCGAAAGGUUGAUAGCAGGUCAUUUAGAGAGGUAGUCUGAGCUAGAGGCAAGGGCAGCUCAAUAACGUCAAAAGCUUAAAGCAAAAUAUUCAAAUGAGACCCUUUUAUUGAAAUUAAGAAAAAAAAAAUUUAAUUUUGAAUAACCAAAUUCAUAUUUUUGAUUUGACAUAUUCAAAUAUUUAUUAGGAAAUACUAAAAAUAUUUAACUAUUAUAAUUAUUUUAUAUUUUUCAAAUGGUUAAUAUAAAAUCAACAAUCAAAAUUUUUAAUUCAAAUAAAUUAAAUAUCACAUAAAAUAAAAACAAUAUAACAAUAUAAUAUAAACUUUAAAUUAAAGUAAAAAAAUCUGUAAAGAUUAGAACAAUAGUAUCUAAUUGUUAAAUGUUUAUUACAAAUCGUAAAUGGAGCUCACUGUUUUAUGAAGAUAAUAGCAUAGUAGAUUCCUGCGUAUUCUUUGAAAGAAAAUUAAAGUUAAAAGAAAGAAAGAGCAGAUGAAGAAAGACGAAUUCAAUAGUGAAUAUUAUAAAUUGAAAAAAAAAAUUGAUUUUAUAUAUAAGAAAUAAAAUUACUAUUGGAUAUCUUUAAAUAUAUCUUACCGUUAGUUAAUUGGAAAUAGAAUAAAUAGGUGAGAAAAACUAGCUAUUGGAGAUCAUUAAUUACAUAUUAAUGUUAAUUGCUUAGAAAUAGGAAAAAUAGUUGAAAAUUAAUAGUAUGGUAGGAAUUGGGAAGUGAUAAAACUUUGAGAUUUAUUAGGCACAUAAUUAGAAAAGUGACAGAAUACAUCAUUUUGUUAAUUAUUUUUUACUUUUACAUCUUUUUAAUAAGAAAUGAGGUAAUUAGUUCACAAGUAAUAGGAAUGUUGAAAUGAAAGAAAAUAAAUAUUUAUUAGACAUGAGAAAAUAUGUAAAUAUUUUAUUAAUUAUCUUAAUUUAUAUAUAUUUUUAAUAUUAUUAAUUAUAUUAUUAUUAUAAAAGUAUGGGACCUCUCUAAAUUUGGGGCCUAAACCCUUCCUUGGGUGGCUUUACGCAAGAACCGGCCCUAGCUAGACGUGGUAUGGACAGAAAAGAGGAACAAUGUGUCAAGAGCAUAGGAAAAGAAGAUGAAUCCUCAACAGAGCUGAAAAGGUGACCAAAGGAGAUAAAGAAAGACAUCAACCAAAUGGUAAGGGAGUGAUUUCGAUCAAAACUAACAUCCCUGAUGAAGAGAUGACAUGGAUUAAAAGUAAUGCUGUGGGGAAACUUAAAACCAAAAUAACUUGUGGAGCUUUACAAACGGGUUUGCUUUAUGAAGGGAUCAAAGUCCAGGUGAAGGUCAUUGAGGGUGGAUCGAUUCUCAUUAGUUUUAACGAUCAAGAAGCAAUGGAAUGUUUGUUGGAAGUUUAUGCAGACCUGUUUGGAGUAUGGUUUAAGUCCGUUAUCCUCCUUUCACUUGCUAAUCCAGAUAGGGAUUUAAGACUUUGGGUCCGCUUAACUGGGGUACCAGUCCGGUUGUGGGAGGUAAACACUUCCAAAGCCAUUGCAGAGUGUUGAAGGGAGUUAUUAGCGGUGGACAAAGGUAUGUUUUAGUUUGUGUCCAUGUUGUAGUCUUUGUAAACACUUCUCCCAUCGACUGUUUUCGCCUGUAGGCUUCAGUGAAUCUGAUUCUGUACAGGGAUUUAAUUCUCCCUUCUUUUGGUAUAGUAAUACAACCAUUCCUUUGCUUCUAAAAAAAAUACUAUACUAUGGUAAAUAUAAUCAUCAAACACAUUCAUUUGGUUUGUUCAUAAAAAUAAAUAAAAUAAACAAGAGUCGAAACGUAUUAUCAUCAUGUUUUAGGUGUGUAAGAAUUAUAAAAUUUUAACAGCUUGUAGCAUUCUAUAUGAAAAUGAAAUCCUCACUAUUUUUCAAUCCUACUGUUUAUUUCUCUCCCCACAGAAGGAUGGGGAAUUUUGAGAAUUCUCGAACAUUGAUGUUUAAUAAAUCGUUAUGUUUCCUUACCCAAUGCAAGUCAAAGUUGCUUCCCGGUGAAGUUGAUGUUGUGUUCUGGAGAAACUUCUAUACGUAGAGUUGAAACUUUCAUCCUCGAAAAUACAAAUUCUUGUAGUCUUGAUUUCGGAAGUUGGGACAAAAAUUGUCCUAUGUACAAUUACCUAGGAUUUAAUAUAAAUACCCAAUGUCUGCCAAAGGAAUCAAGAUUUAGUAGCAAUUGGCUGAAGAUAAGAAUCAAGACUCUUGCAAUAUUUUAUUAGCAUCUUACUCAUGGUUAGGUAGUAGACCAAUAAAAUUCAAAAAUCAAAGUAAAGCUAACUCUCAAAUUAAUAAUUUUUUAUAUAGUAUUUGCAGGCCUAUCACAUUGCAAGCAACAAUGGAGAAAUAAUCAAAACUAUCUAUAGGUUCUCUUUGUCUUUUUGCUCGUUCUUUUUAUCUUUCUUACAAAUCUCAUUCGAUCCCGUUACAAGGUUAGAAUGUAGGAUUUUUAGAUUAGAGUCUAAAAUUCUAAAUGUCCGAAUGUUUCCUUAAUUGAAAAAAUAUAUCAAAUACUUAACAACAUUUGGAUUAAUUUUAAAUAAUUUUACAUAUAUCAAGGUUUCAGUGACAAAUGCAUAAUAGAGGAUUACUUUUUUGUUUCUUUGGUAAUCCUGAAUAAAUUCUCUAAUUUCCUCUUAUAACAAAAUUUACGUAGGAUAGGAUGCUUGUAUUAUGCAAAUACAGAAGUAGUUACAAGUUGAGGUAAGAUAUCUCAUAAGAAAAUGACAAUCAAGUUUUUCAACACUAUCUUAUGUAGAUACACAAAUUUAACAAAUUAAAAUAUGAAAUGUAAUUAGAAAUAGUUUCAUGAUAUUAUGAGUUGACAAUUUAAUAUAAAAAUAAAUAUAAUGCGAUAAAAUGUGAAUUCAUACAUAUGAUAACUAGAACCAAUAUAAUAAUAUUUAUGUUGAUAGAGAGUUUUGGCAUUACCUUCAUAUGCUUGUGUUUAUUAUUUUUAUAUAUUUUUAGCAUUAUAAUAGAUUAUCUUAAAUUUCAUCUUGUGGUAAUCACUUCAGAGCUCUUGUCUACAAGAGCAUUAAAUUCCGUUGACUUGCUCGAAAAUAAAAUGAGAAGUGCCCUCGAAUCUCACCCAUAAUUAAAGCACUAUAAGUAUUGGCUUUAACAAAAUUGUCAUGACGGCUUAAGAUUUCUACUAGAAGAAGUUACACGAUAAUUCUAUUUAUUGAAUAUUUUUAAGAUAAUACGAGUGUGCCACCCGCAUGUGUGCUCUUCUCUGUUGCAAUUCGUCAUUUUCCAAUAGGACGAGUUGAAUAUGUUGAAAGCCAAAACUUAAUGCAUUGAAACAAAAUAUUUAUGAAACCACCUUAUUGAAAAUUUCUUGGUUGAAGCGAUAGCUAGGUACCUAUACGUACUACAAUCUACGCUAACAAAUGUGUCAAACUCGUACAUCCAAUUUUCAUUAAGGUGUCUUCUUCGUGACUAUCAAUUCUUUUAUAUGUUUGGAAAGAGUUCUCCUCGUUUGGAGAAAUCAUAUUUUGAAGUGCUCUUGAACCAAAGCAAAAAUGCAAAAUCAUAUUGAUUAGAAAUGAAAAAUAAUAAUUAAGUAUAUCAUCAAUUAUGACAUGAAAAAAAUAUAUUUAUGUUUCCUAUGGUACUUCGAAUAAAUUGUUUUCUUUUGUUGUAAUUACGUACUUUUUUUACUAUUUUGUUUUUAAAAGUAAUAAAAGUGAUAAUUAAAUGCAGUGUAAAUUAUUAUAGAGGAAAUUGUGAGAAAUAGUUAAUCUCAUAAGGCCAUUUAAAAAAUAGCCCUUAAUAUAAAAUUAGUUGUUUUUAUCUAAUUUUUUCUAUGAUUUAACAAAAAUACUCUUAAAACCAUUUCAGAUAAAUUAAACCAUUUAUUACAACUUCCCUUAGUGAAUUCUCUCUCUGCCUUCCAUCUGUUGGGCUCUUGAUUUCUCUCUUUCGUCAUCUAGCUCUCUCUAAUUUUAUCAAUUUCUCUCUUCUGCAUCCGUUUGCUGUGCUCCUAAUUUCUCUCUCCCGCCAUCCAACUCUCUCUAAUUUUACCACCAUCGCCAUCUCUUUCUGUCUAUUUCUCGCCAUAUCGUUGUCGAUUUACAAACCAAAGAGCAGAGAUGACAUUAAUGUAUGUUCUUAUGUUUAUUGAUUUACAUUCACAGAACCUCAAAGGAUAGGUUGAAGUUAUAUAAGUGAAAUCUGUAAAUUAAAACACUAUCCAAAGUUGUUACAUGCAGGCAUGGCGUGUAACAAAUCUAUUGAAUAUGGUAUAGUUUAAAAAUGACAUGUAACUAGAUCUCUAUCAUCGUAUUUCACUAAGACAUAAAUAUUUGGAUUUAAACAUUUUAAGCAUGACGUGUAAUACUUUUUUUUUUCAACAUGACGUUUAAUAACUUUUUUUUCAAUAUGGUGCGUAACUUGGUCUCUAUCGUUGUAUUUCAUUAGGAUAUAAAUUGUUGAAGUUAAGCACCUUAAACAUGGCAUGUAAUAACUUUUUUUUUUCAACAUAGUGCAUAAUAAUUUUUUUUCAACAUAAUGUGUAAUAAUAUUUUUUUAGCUACUCGCCGAAACUCUUGCAAUAGCUACAUAUCACCAAUGCAUCCUUAGGGUUAUAGCUAUCAAGGCUUGAGGAUCCUUCUGUAGCAAUCCCACCAACUCAAGAGAAAAAAAAAAACAAAAGAUUCAUUGAAAACCAAAACAACUUUUUCUCCACUUCUCUUUUUCUUUUUUUCCAUUUGUUCACUUGUGUGUAUGAGAGGAUGAUUAUGAUGAUGACCCUUCUUUCUUCUUUUUUAUCUUUCUUUUUUUUAUGAUUUAAAUCUUUUGUUGUUUGUUUUCACAUAUCAAUAUCAUGGUUCCUGAGUAGUGGUGCUGUUGAUUUUUUCUUUUUAAAAAAAAAAACAUUUUUUUCAACAUGUAUGCUUGAGUACAAGGAGGCUUCAUUAAGGGUCAUUUUGUCAAAAAAUCUUCUCUUGACAAAAAAUAAUUAAAAUUAAAAUGAAAGUUAUUUUCUAAAAAGCCUUAUCUUUGAAGGUUAAAAAAAAAUUGUCCCAUUAUCAUAGGUGUUAGUGAUUGGUUUGCUUGAAUGUAGCUAGUUUCCUACUUUCUGUCCAUCAUUGAGGUCCUUUCUUUUUAUUAACAAAAGAAGUUUCUUUGAGAGAUCUUCAUAUAAACUUUAUUUACUAAUCAAUAAAUGGUAGCUAACUCCCCUUUAAGUUAAUCUCAAUUCUUUACAGUUUGAGGCUUUUAAAGUUAAAAGUUUUAGCAUUCAAAUGGUUGAGUUGUUUCCUUGUAAACUUAUCUGAAUUAUUUCAAGAAAAUUCAUUGUUGGUGACUGCUAUGCUUGUAGCUUCUCACUCAGAUUAAUACCGUGCAUAAUACGGCGAAAUUUGAGAGAAAACAUGGAAAGAAUUAUGUAAGUAAAUGGUUUAUAGAGUAGACAAAAUUAAGCAAAGUAGAUAUAUUAGCUGCAAAAUUUUUGAGUUUUGUCAAUAAUUUUCAGCCAAUAAGGGUUUGUUCCAGUAAUAAAAUGAUAAGCUGAAGCCCUAGAAAUUUUUAUUUUCAAAUUUUAUGAUCCGCGUGUACAUAGAUAUGCCAUUAAUUUAGAGUUUAUUUUACCAGAAAUGACCGAUAUCAUAAAAUAUAAUGUCUAGAAAUUUUUAUUUUCAAAUUUUACAAUCUGUGUGUGAUAAACUUUCACAUGAAUCGAAAACAAAAACAUUAUGAUGAAAAUCAUAACGGCAAGAUUUGUGGAAGAGAAGAAAAUGAAUUUAAUUUAUUUGUUAAGUGCUACAUAUAUCUCCUGCUUUACUCUACUAUAUUUGAUUAGUUUUUUUUAAAUAAAUGAGAUAUUCGAGGUUAAAACAUUUUUAUAUAUUACAUUUAUUCACACACAUCAAGUGAAGAAAACUUGGAACUUCUACCUCUAUAAAUUUCAAGGUGUUAAGGUAAAAUUAGGGUAUUACCACUUGCUAACGAGAGAGACGAUGGUCUAACUACUGUGUGCGACAAUGGGAUAUGAUGGUGUGCUCAGUGAAAGGGAACUAGAGUUUCUAGGACUCCUGAACCCGAGAGGGUACUCUUGGGAGUACUCUUUGCCAACCGAAGAGGUAUCCACCUCUAUUAAAUUGUUUCUGUGCAUAUAUCUCUUUCUCCUUUGGCUCAUAUAUAUAUAUAUUUUGUGUCAAACCAUGUUCUAUAAAUAAUUACGAUGUCAUUUACAUGCUCAAUCGAAUGUUUGCAUAUUUAGGAAGUUCGAGAAAUCGUUAAAAUAUGAUAUUACCCCUAGUGGUACCAUUGAGUCAAUUAAGCCUCGAACUAGUUCAAAUAGGAAUUUUAAGGUGAAAUUAAGAGUUUUACAGUUCAGGGAUGACUCAGAAUGGUAAUUCGAAGUUCGAGGAUCAAUUCGGAGUCAAACUGGAAUUUUCACUAUCUAGGGGUAAAAUGGUCAUUUGCCACUUGGGGACAAAAUGGAAAUUUUUAAAAAAGAUUUUUUUGGCCCCAUUUAACUUAUUGGAGUAUGAUUUGAUUAUUGAAAUAUAAUUUGAGGGUUUGGCAGUGAAAAAGUUUAAUUCCGGUAAUUUCUAGAGUGUAGGGGCAAAAUCGUAAUUUUUCUACCCACGGACAAAAUUUGAGAUUUUGAGAGAAUUUAGAUCACAUGUGACAAAUUGGAAAAUGGUAUGAGUAUAAGGGAUGAAAAAUAUGUCUAUGGGUAAUUUUUUAAUUUUUGGGGCAAAAAAUGUAAUUUUUGACUUUUAUAGGGGCAAAAGUGUAAAUUUCAAAAAUUACUCCACCAAGACUUUGGAUAAGUCUGAGAAUUUUAUCUGAGCUAUGGAUUUGUGGGACAAGUGUAUGGUGAAAAUUUAGAAACAAAUGGAUGGCUAGAAUUUAAGAAAUUAAUAAAACAAAAAAAAUGAAUAAAAUAAUAUUAUAAUAUUUUAGCCUUUAAAAAGGUCAAAAUUUCCAGAAUUCUCAUCUUCUUCAAGCUGUCCAAUCCAGGAGAAAAAAGGGGGAAAAGAAAUAAGAACUCUAGCUGAAAAUUUUGGAGAAAAUCAAGAGAAAUCAAGAAAUCAAGCAUUAAAAAGGUAAAUUUCAUUGAUUUUCCUUGUGAUUUUCACUACCCAUGCAUUUUUUUCUCAUUUCCAUGCAAAAUUAGAAAGUGGGUAUGGACACCCAUGCUGGCCAAACCUCCAUGNNNNNNNNNNNNNNNNNNNNNNNNNNNNNNNNNNNNNNNNNNNNNNNNNNNNNNNNNNNNNNNNNNNNNNNNNNNNNNNNNNNNNNNNNNNNNNNNNNNNNNNNNNNNNNNNNNNNNNNNNNNNNNNNNNNNNNNNNNNNNNNNNNNNNNNAGGAAUGAUGAAUUAUGAGCCUAGAAAAAUAAUGGGAAUUUUUGGAGCAAAAAUACAAAUUUUUACCCACUAGGGGUGUUUUCGUAAUUUACUGUCGAGACUGAUAAAUUGCACCACAUUAAGGGACAUUAAGUCAAUUUGGGUGCAAUUGAGGUAUAGAAAUUGAAAAAAUUAAUUUGGAGUUUAAACGGACGUGUAUAUCGAUUUAUCGGGUAAAAGACCGAAAUAGGCUAACAACACGUUUAGGUAAAAUUUAGAUAUUUUGCACUUCAUAUCAUACAUAUACACCGAGCCUGAAUUGAUUUUAUAAUGGUCAAGCAUUAAUGUGGUGAAUUAUGUAUUGUACAUUGUGGAUAGAUGGUGAGCAAAUUACAUUGGUAAAAGUACAGGAUUGUGCUUGAAGAUUGGGGUUAGGAGUAUAUCAACUCCUAGAACAGUGAGUGAACUUAUUAUUGUCUUAAUUAUCUAGAGUAAUUUUAUACAACUAUGUGAUUUUAUGAAAAAUGGGUUUAAAUGGUAAAUUGAUAUGUUUUAGGAGAAAUUAUGAUUUUAUAAAAUGAUUUUAUAAAUUUUCUGAAAAAUCGAAUACUGGUUUUGAAAAUAGAGUAAUUGGAGACUGCCUACUUGUGUUGUAAAAUUAUGAUUUGAAUUAAAUGGCUUGUGAUAAAUUGGCAUGAUUGGUUGAAUUUAUACUUGUGCUGAAAAAUAUGAACUGUCUGUUUUGCCUUGAUAAAUUGGUUAGUAAUGUAAUUGCCAUGCUAUGCCAUUGAGAUUUGAUAAAUUGGUGGAUUAAAGAUUAGCUACUGCAAUGGUGGGGGGUUCCGUGGACCAGCCUAUUAGAGGGGCAUGGUAAACUCCUUUAUAUUCUCACCUCGGUCGUAGAGGCGCAUAGGGUAUCUCUUGAGGUGGGCUUUUUUAGAGCACUUCACUUUAACCACCACGUGAGAGUGAGACUCAGCCAACGCCAAGGAACGGCUGUGAUGUUCAAUGAAAAAUGUGUUUUAUGCGAGAUAUGAAUUUUUAACAGCCUGGGCAAUCUCAGUGGGAUAUCUUGACAAAGGUACCCGCGAGAAUGAUUUUGGCAGGAGCCAAGUUUUGUGAGAUAUAUAAGCCAUGUUGAUUAAUUGAGUAAACUGAAUAUUCAUGUUAUGAAACAUAUAUUAGAAAAGAAUAUUUUAAUUCGUCUCAAUUUACUCGCCUUUAGAUAGUUUAGAUGGUGUCUGUUUACUCACUGAGAUUUUAUAAUCUCACCACCCUCAAUUCUCCACAUUUCAGGCUCGGGAUAGCCGAUUGCAUCAAGGACUUCAGUUAGCCUUACAUCGACAAAAUUGUAGGUUCACAAACUCGCAUCUUAUCGGUUAGUUGGGGGCCCACGUGUCAUUAUAAAAGUAAUUUUAUACUUUAGUUAUUUGAUUUAAAGUAUGUAUGAACAUAUUUAGCUUUUACACCAUGUUUUUGGUGGGUUUCGGUAUUUUCGAAGAAAAAUGAUGAAAAUGCCCUUGUGAGCCAGAAAAUAAUAUUAUAUUUGGAAACGACUUAUGAUUUUCUUGAAAUGCGAGAUUUAAUAACUGUCGCUCACUAGGGAGAUGCAGAAGCUAAUGCUAAGCCUUGCGAGGUUUCGCUUAGCAUUUGGGGUGAAGAAUGUUUGUCGAGGCUUCGUGACGGUUGUCACAGGCCCGAUGGGGAGUUCCGGAUCGUGACAUUUUGCAAUGCUUUUAACAUAAAAACCAACGACAAACAAACGUCAAAGUUAUGUUUGAAGAGUUAAAUAGGAGCUCAAAAUUCAUAUGGAACAGAAAUUUUAAAAAUAUGUCAAAAUUUUGUAUUUUUUUUCAAAGAAAAAAAGGCUGGCUCUAGAUAUAAAGCACUAAUUUGAGUAUGAUAUUUCACUUGUUUGAUAUUCUGCUCAAAAUCUGUCAUGAUAUAACUUUAAAUUAAUCCACAGCCUUUACAUUUUGUCGAUAUAUAACAUGAUUAUUAUGCAAAUAUUACUAUUCCGAUGGUAUAUCUCAUUGUACCAUAAGUCAGAACUAUUCUUUCUUUUGCAUAAAGCUUCAAUCUCAACAUUUCAAAUUCUUCGUAUUUCCUUUGAAUUUGUUUAACUAUUGGAAAUUGCUGUUGAUUUUCAAUUGUUUUUACUGCUCCAUUAUCUUGGAUAUCCUGUUGAUGCUGUUGGUAUUUUUUUGGAGUGGUGGUUGAUGCUGAUGAAUCUUUAUGCUCUAUUUUGGGUGUGGUAAUUUUAAUAAAGUAUAGAGUCUAUAUAAUUUAUUUUCACAAAUAGCUUAUUAAAUAAUUUUUGCUUAAUUUUAAAAGUUAUUAUUUUUCAAACUUAAUAACUUUUAAACUAAAAAAAGCUAAGCCAAACAGGUUCUGUCACGAAUCGGAACUCCCAUCGGGCCCGUGACAACCGUCGCGAUAUCUCGAUGGCACUCAUUACCCCGAAUGCCGAUCGAAACCCCGCAAGGCUUAGCAUCAGGUUCCGUAUCUCCCCGAUGAGCGACAGUUAUUAAAUCUCACAUUUCAAAAAAUCAUAAGUCGUUUCCAAAUCAAAACAAUAAAAUAUUAUUUUUUGGCUCACAAGGGCAUUUUCGUAAUUUUUCUUCAAAAAUACCGAAACCCGUCAAAAACAUGGUGUAAAAGAUAAAUAUGUUUAUACAUACUUUAAAUCAGAUAAAUGAAGUAUAAAAUUACUUUUACAGUGACACGUGGGCCCCCAAUUGACCAAAAAGGUGUAAGGCUAUGAACCCUUACUUUCUAGGAUGCAACUCCGAUAUUAAUUCUCGUCUUAAUCAACUAUCAACAAACUGUCCUGAGCUUGAAAAAUGGAUAGGAAGAGGGGUGAGAUUAUGAUUACAUAAUCCCAAAGAGUAAACAUACACCAUCUAAACUAUUUAAAGACGAGUAAAGGGAGACAAUUAAAAAUAGUUCAUUUCAGCAAAUUUUUCACAACACGAAUAUUCAUUUCAACCAAAUAAUCAAUAUGGCUCGUGAAUUUCUCAAAACAUGGCUCCUGCCAAAAUCAUUCUCGCGGGUACCUUUGUCAAGGUAUCCCACUAAGACCGCCAAGGUUGUUAAAUGUCCCAUAUCCAUAAACAUGUUUUCGCAUCUGACACACAGCCGUUCCUUGACGUUGGCUGAGUCUCACUCUCACGCGGUGGUUAACGUGAAAUGCACUCAAAAAGCCCACCUCAGGAGAUACCCUACGCGCCUCUACGACCGAGGUGAGAAUAUAAAGGAGUUUACCGUGCCCCUUUAAUAGGCUAGUCCACGGAACCCCCCCACCACUGCAGUAGCUAAUCUUUAAUCCACCAAUUGAUCAAAUCUCAAUGGCAUAGCAUGGCAAUUACAUUACUAACCAAUUUAUCAAGGCA